GAUGAACGCUGGCGGCGUGCCUAAUACAUGCAAGUCGAGCGAACAGACGAGGAGCUUGCUCCUCUGACGUUAGCGGCGGACGGGUGAGUAACACGUGGAUAACCUACCUAUAAGACUGGGAUAACUUCGGGAAACCGGAGCUAAUACCGGAUAAUAUAUUGAACCGCAUGGUUCAAUAGUGAAAGACGGUUUUGCUGUCACUUAUAGAUGGAUCCGCGCCGCAUUAGCCAGUUGGUAAGGUAACGGCUUACCAAGGCAACGAUGCGUAGCCGACCUGAGAGGGUGAUCGGCCACACUGGAACUGAGACACGGUCCAGACUCCUACGGGAGGCAGCAGUAGGGAAUCUUCCGCAAUGGGCGAAAGCCUGACGGAGCAACGCCGCGUGAGUGAUGAAGGUCUUCGGAUCGUAAAACUCUGUUAUUAGGGAAGAACAAAUGUGUAAGUAACUAUGCAUGUCUUGACGGUACCUAAUCAGAAAGCCACGGCUAACUACGUG
rnacentral:rRNA from 1 species